rnacentral:sRNA from 1 species
UGGCCGACCCGAAGUCGCACAGCUUGAGCCCGCCGCCGUUCACGACGAGGAUGUUGUCCGGCUUGAUGUCGCGGUGCAUGACGCC